rnacentral:tRNA from 1 species
GUUAUUUUGGCAGAGAUAUAUGUGUUGGAUUUAGGAUCCUAUAAGAUAGAGUAAUCUAUA